GGAGGUUUAAGAUCCAGUACAAGAAAGUGGCUUCGACAGCCUCCCCAAGAGAUAUCAUGCAAACUAAUGGAGGACUCGUCCAUCCCAGCAGAUCUUAGCUUUAGGUAGGAAAAACCAGUCACCAACCCACCCCAACCCAUUAAAAAACACAUCCACAACACAAGAGUCCUACUGUCACUAAACUUGGAACCUAAACUAUUGCAUGUUCCAUGGCAGGUGUAAAAUAACCUUCAUAAAUGAACCACCAUCCUAUAAGCAAUCAAAAUGCAACACAAAAUAAUCUACAGUCCCACCCAAAGGGGUGAUGAUAGACUCACAUCGGAUUAGAGAAGAGAGUCG
rnacentral:misc_RNA from 1 species